rnacentral:rRNA from 1 species
UACGUAGGGACCAAGCGUUGUUCGGAUUUACUGGGCGUAAAGGGCGCGUAGGCGGCAAUUCAAGUCAGCUGUGAAAUCUCCGGGCUUAACUCGGAACGGUCAGCUGAUACUGCUUUGCUAGAGUGCAGAAGGGGCAAUCGGAAUUCUUGGUGUAGCGGUGAAAUGCGUAGAUAUCAAGAGGAACACCUGCGGCGAAGGCGGGUUGCUGGGCUGACACUGACGCUGAAGCGCGAAAGCUAGGGGAGCGAACGGG